GACAAGUUCUUGGAAAAAAAGUUAUCUCAAAGAUGGCCCGAUGUAAAGAGACAAUAUAAAAUUUUUAAGGAAACAAAGGAUGGAGAAGACAUGAACUUUCUUGUAAGAGGCCUAAUUUGUGCGACACAGAUGAGAUGAAAUACAUGUACUAUAUUGACGAGAUUAAAUACUUCUUAUCACCAUCUCCACGUUUUUUUUAAAGAAAUUGAUCGCAAUUCAUUCGAAAGAUAUUGCGAAAUAAAAUUGUCUCACUAUGAAAAGCUAUCUUCGAUACGAAAUGAGUUGGACAGAUAUAGAGUGAAACCUGAAAGAGAACAGCUUUUGGAAGAAAUUUGUACUUUCGUGGCAAAAUAUAUUCAAAUUCGAGAAGAU